GGGGCCGUCGUCUAGCAUGGUAGGAUGCUAGCCUGGGGUGCUAGUGGUCGCAGGUUCAAAUCCUGCCGGCCCCA
rnacentral:tRNA from 3 species